rnacentral:rRNA from 1 species
UACGUAGGGGGCUAGCGUUGUCCGGAAUCAUUGGGCGUAAAGAGCUCGUAGGCGGCUCGGUAAGUCGGGUGUGAAACCCCCAGGCUCAACCUGGGGACGCCACCCGAUACUGCUGUGGCUAGAGUCCAGUAGGGGAGUGUGGAAUUCCCCGGUGUAGCGGUGAAAUGCGCAGAUAUCAGGAGGAACACCAAUGGCGAAGGCAGCUCGCUGGGACGGUACUGACGCUGAGGCGCGAAAGCACGGGGAGCGAACAGG